rnacentral:antisense_RNA from 1 species
AUCCUACCGAGGCCACCAUAGACCAGCCAGCCCUCAGCGUACAUGCCAGCUAAUUACAGAUGCAGGAGCAAACCCCUGGCCCAUACAUCAAUUUUAAUGUCAUUGAAUACAGAGAACAAAUCUCAUUCAUUUUGGUAUCGGCUCGAGUCAACAAACAUUGAAAAAUCAUUUACUGCGUCUGAUUUUGGGUAUGUUGAAUUGGUGACAUCUGAGUUGCUUCUGGUCUAUCCUGAUAGAAACAUACAGUAAACAGAGAAAAAAAAGGAUCUCAGGUGAGAUGAUGUAUGGGAAUGCUCAGCAUACAGAAUGAAUGGAUAAGAGGCCUGAAAACAUAAUCCUGUAAACAACCAUAUUGAAAGAGAAGACAGAAGACAUCAAAGAGACUUUGAGUCUUGCUCUAUGGCCCAGACUGGAGUGCAGUGGCAUGAUCUCGGCUCACUUCAACCUCCACCUCCAGGGUUCGAGAGAGAUUCUCCUGCCUUAUCUUCCCAAGUAGCUGGGAUCACCAACGCCCACAACCACACCCGGCUAAUUUUUGUACUUUUAGUGGAGACAGGGUUUCGCCAUGUUGGCUAGGCUGGUCUCAAACUCCCGACCUCAGGUGAUCCACCUGCCUUGGCCUCCCAAAGUGCUGGGAUUACAGACGUGAGCCCCCGCACCUGGCCAAGAUCAGCUAGAUUUUGGAAGCAUUGCCUUCUACAGAAUCCACAGUAGUCCGAAGUUCUUCUACGGUUUUU